GCAGAAUUCAAAGCACUGGGUAAUUGUUGCUGAAAUCUCACAAGUAGUUUCUUCUCCAUUGCAUGUCCAUGUGAGGUUAUCCAUCCAAUCUGCUUGUCGGUUACUGCACAGGUCCCUGAAAUACACAAAAAUCUUGGAAUCCAGAGAUUUCGCUGAGAAUUUUCUCUGAGCUAGUUUUGCAGAAUUGGGCCUCUCGUUUCCCAGGGCCAAAUCCUGGCUGUACCUGCACCCACAGCGCAGAGCUGGAUGGAGCUGUGCAUAAACUGGACUGUUUGAUCUCUAAAAGCCAGGGAUGUAAUUACAUGAAAAUUAAAACAUCAAGCCAACAUAACUGUACAUUGGCAAAAGAGAUGCAUCUCUUGAUUCAUCCAUCUCCCAAAUGUGGCUGCACACAGAAAGCAUUUUGGGUGGCACUUCCAGGGCCACAUGCUAACUUCACUACACAAUAUGGUAAGUUAAAAAACAUGGCAGAAUAAGUCCCAGACUUGUUGCGGGCAGAAGGGAGCACAGACGCUAUGUGGCAUGUUCUCAGACAGCAGGAAGGGUGCACCACUUGCAUUCUAUGCAUAUGAGAGAGGUCUAUGGGGAAGACGCCUGGAUGUAGAAAGGAGAACAACCUGGGAACAACUGCUCUUUUUGGCAUGUUUCUCAAUUAAAAAUUUGCACACAAGUUACUACUGAAGUAUCAGUAAAUCCCUCUUACAGGCUGGGGGGAUGGGUGUCUGUGUGAGUGAGAGAGAGAGAGAGAGAGACGGCCCCUAGGAGAGGGGUGUGUGCGUGUGUGUGUGUGAGAUGGGCCCUAGGAGAGUAGGGAUUGGGUCUCUGGACUCAUGUCUCCCAGUAUCUGUAUGGAUCUUGGAAUAUCUGACAAUUUGGGGAGCUGCCCAUUCUGUACAACACAAAGACCAUCCCUGUAACAGAAGAAACUGGAGUGUAUGGACUCUAGUUGUAUAUUAAAAAGCUUCUUAUUCUAUCAUAAUUUUUUUCAAAUUUUCAGUCUGUAACUGUAAAAUAUGAAAACUGCACUGAGAAAACUAUCAUAUUUUCCAUGAUGAAGGUUGGUGUGAUAUAGGUCAUUUUAAUCAUGUUUUAUGUCCAAAUACAUUUUGAAAUAAUUUAAAAAAU
rnacentral:lncRNA from 1 species